rnacentral:rRNA from 1 species
CCUACGGGAGGCAGCAGUGAGGAAUAUUGGUCAAUGGACGAGAGUCUGAACCAGCCAAGUAGCGUGAAGGAUGACUGCCCUAUGGGUUGUAAACUUCUUUUAUAAAGGAAUAAAACGAGGCACGUGUGCCUUUUUGCAUGUACUUUAUGAAUAAGGAUCGGCUAACUCCGUGCCAGCAGCCGCGGUAAUACGGAGGAUCCGAGCGUUAUCCGGAUUUAUUGGGUUUAAAGGGAGCGUAGAUGGGUUGUUAAGUCAGUUGUGAAAGUUUGCGGCUCAACCGUAAAAUUGCAAUUGAUACUGGCAGUCUUGAGUACAGUUGAGGUAGGCGGAAUUCGUGGUGUAGCGGUGAAAUGCUUAGAUAUCACGAAGAACCCCGAUUGCGAAGGCAGCUUACUAAACUGUAACUGACGCUGAGGUUCGAAAGCGUGGGUAGCAAACAGGAUUAGAUACCCGAGUAGUC